GAAAAAAACUGGGCUUACCAUAAGAAAUGGGCUUCUUUUUGCGACCCAAAAAUAAUUUACAGCAUCAUUUAAAUCCCUAUAUUUUAUUCUCAAAAUGUCAUCAAAUCCAGCUCCUCUACUUGGCUAGAUGCCGCUAGCGGCGUCGUUGAGAGAAGAGAUUGAUUUACCGCGAAAAUGAGGCGUUGAUUGGUGCGAAAUUGUGUAAAUUGCUCAUGCUGGCGAAGAGUAGAGUUCUUGGUGAUCACGGUGGUGAGGAAUAGAGUUGCUGGUGCUGAUAAAUUGUGUAAAUUGCUCAUGGUGGCGGAGAAUAGAGGUCUUAGUGCUGAUGAAUUCACGAGUGUCUUUACAAGGCAUUUGGCAAUGUUGAAGGAAGCUUAUAAUGGUUAGGAUUUGGUUGGGCAUGAUCCUCUCUGUGAGAAAUGAGAAUCAACGAGAUUAAGGAUAAAUUUGUUGAAAUGUUGGAGGGGUUGGUGGGAGAGGACUCAGGAAUUGAGAAUGUACAGAGAAGUAGUAUUUCGAAGGAUAUGGAUCGGAUGUGAUAAGCAGAAUACGGAGUUAUGAAGUCGUAGAAAUGAUCUGAGUAGGGAAAUCUACUAGAACAGACUGUUGAUGUUGAAUAAAGAAACACUAUGAUGUUUGAACAUAGUUGGUGGAAGAGUUAAUUUUCUGCCUCUCUCUCGUGAAUCUUCAUUGUUUGAUCGAAGAUAUGCUUAAACCAUAUAUACCAAGAUCCCGACCACAUGGAUCGAUCCAUCGCCCUCCACUCGCUCGCUGCUCUGCUUCUUCUAGUGCUGUACCCAAAGGCCGAGUGCCAGUGGCUUCACCACCAUCCACUGCCACCCUCUCAUCGACCUCCACUCUGUGCUGAACAGUUUGCAUUAGCAAACGGCGCGUGUUCAGGGCUGCCCUACACACCACUCCCUCCACCAACCCCUCCUGCCCCACCAGCACCCAUCCCCACGGAGGGAGAUCACCCCCUCCACCGCCAUGGCGGGCACCACAACCACGGCCACAGGCACCACAUGCACAAAGAAACAAGUGCGGAAGCGGAUUGCUGUAGGUGGUUGAAACAAGUCGACAACAUCUGCAUUUGUAGCCUGUUGGUUCACUUGCCAGAGUUCCUCGCCCGGCCCGCGCAUAAUUACACGGUAUACGUGGACGAGUCUUGUGAGAUAAGUUUUAGCUGCCCGUCGAGGUGCGUACCAUUCUGAUUAUUACAACAAUAUUAACAGAGGAAGUUAAGUUUAUAGUAGUAAGUUUGUCAUAUGUAUUAUGUAUCGAUUUCAAAUUAGAAAUUGUGUAACAUUUUAUUGCCAUAUUAAUCAAAAUCCACUACUAUCAGAA